AGAAGAUUGGCCGAGUGGUUUAAGGCGUGCUACUUGAAAUAGCAAGAGUAAAUAAACUCCACCAGUUCGAAUCUGGUAUCUUCUG
rfam:Diaporthe ampelina DA_912_scaffold_v01_302, whole genome shotgun sequence.